rnacentral:rRNA from 1 species
UACGGAGGGGGCUAGCGUUGUUCGGAUUUAUUGGGCGUAAAGAGCUCGUAGGCGGUUUGGCAAGUCGGGUGUGAAAACUCCGGGCUCAACUCGGAGACGCCACUCGAUACUGCCAUGACUCGAGUCCGGUAGGGGAGUGCGGAAUUCCUGGUGUAGCGGUGAAAUGCGCAGAUAUCAGGAGGAACACCGGUGGCGAAGGCGGGUCUCUGGGCCGAUACUGACGCUGAGGAGCGAAAGCGUGGGGAGCGAACAGG